UACGUAGGGACCGAGCGUUGUCCGGAUUCAUUGGGCGUAAAGAGCUCGUAGGCGGCUGCUCAAGUCGAAUGUGAAAACUCGAGGCUCAACCCCGGGUCUGCAUUCGAUACGGGCUAGCUAGAGUGUGGUAGGGGAGAUCGGAAUUCCUGGUGUAGCGGUGAAAUGCGCAGAUAUCAGGAGGAACACCGGUGGCGAAGGCGGAUCUCUGGGCCAUUACUGACGCUGAGGAGCGAAAGCGUGGGGAGCGAACAGG
rnacentral:rRNA from 1 species